GAUGAAGAACGUAGCGAAAUGCGAUACGUAAUGUGAAUUGCAGAAUUCAGUGAAUCAUCGAAUCUUUGAACGCAUAUUGCGCUCUCUGGUAUUCCGGAGAGCAUGCUUGUUUGAGUAUCAGUAAACACCUCAACUCCCUUUUCUUUUUUGAAAUUGGAGCUGGACUUGAGUGAUCCCAACGCUUUCUUCCAAGAAAGUGGCGGGUUGCUUGAAAUGCAGGUGCAGCUGAACUUUUCUCUGAGCUAUAAGCAUAUCUAUUCAGUCUGCCUAAAAAACAGAUUAUUACCUUUGCUGCAGCUAACAUAAAGGAGACUAGUUCUUGUGCUGACUGAUGCAGGAUUCACAGAGACAGCUUCGGCUGACUUUGUAAACUCGAUCUCAAAUCAAGUAAGACUACCCGCUGAACUUAAGCAUAUCAAUAAGCGGAGGA
rnacentral:misc_RNA from 1 species